UUUGCUCUAGCAUGCUGUUUAAUCUGGAUUUUACACUGGGCCUAAUCUCUUCACUACAACAUAAUCUCGCUCCUUGACAUCUUCCCUUUACAGUAAAUUGGAUUACUCAGACAUUUCAGUUCCCUCUCAAGGGCUAAUGUUUAUGAAAACAACAAACUGGCCUUUGAAGUUGCAGAGACCAAGCUUGGCAUCCCCGCUUUCCUGAUCCCCAAAGAAAUGCUUGCCGCCGAGGUGCCUGAUUAUUUGAGUGUCAUCACUUACCUCUCCCAGUAUUACCAUUACUUUGGACGGCUCUCUAACAGUGUGUGUAAGGAAGCAUAUCCUUCUCUUUGUCUCC